GCCUUCUAUUCAUGAAUUGUUUAAACGCCGUAGAGGGAAGAAGCAGACGAGACGGCAGCACGGAUACAAUAGGUUAUUUUUGUCUGCAUCAUGCUUGCAGGCACAGUAUACAUAUUUCGGUUUCAAAAAACAAAUAGUUUCUCCUGGAUAUAUUUCCCUCGCUAGGGACAGGAGAGAAGGACGUUUGACGAAAUAAUCGACAUCGUAACAGCGCUUACACUGGCAUGACAAGUCGCGAAAAAAACCAUCGCUUAACAUUGUACUGGCACCACCUAGCCCUCGCGUGCCCAUUCCUCGCGAAUUUAAAGGAUUUCUAUUUUCUUGUUGUUUACUUGUUUACUUUGACAACAGACGGGACCGAGUUCAGAAUUCGUUAUCCGUUCGAAGUUUAAUUUUAAGUGGACCGACCGCAGGACUUCUCGGAUGAGUGAACACAUUGGCUCACAUCUUCACAACAGCCGUGUUGAGGACAUCUGAAUCUAGAGAACACCUUGAGGACCGUCCCCCACCAUGUUGAACGACUGGGUCGUGUGGAGGAACUUCAUGACUCCCACACCUGAGACGCGCUACAAGUUCUUCACGAGCACCGCCGCCGAAGACCACAUUUACAGCAGCACCGUGUCUCAGACGGGACGAGCGGACACCAGGCUACCGAGUUUCUCCGCGUAUCUUGGGCUUUUCGUGUGCUUGCUCCUGUUUCUGCUCGCAUUAAUAAUCGUGAUGCUGUACCGAAUGAAACACACCGUCGCCCCGCUUCGCACGGACUUGGAGACGGCGGGUCAGACGGAGAUGUUUCCUGAAGUGGAGCUUGGCACUCUGGAGUUUUGAACCGGAGAAUGACGACGAACAGUAGACGUUUUAAGAUGAAGAUAUGGGUGCUGGCUGGCAGCGUUCCGUGCGGCAAAAUGCCGGGGAAUCGUCAGACGGGGAACAGAAAGAUGUGGAGGAAGGAGAGAAACGUCUGUCACUGCUCCCGGAGCUGCCUGUGAGCAGGAGAGAGAGGUGUGGAGCUGGAGAUAGAGGUGUGGAGCUGGAGAGGGAGGCGUGGAGCUGGAGCGUGUGUGUCUCUGCGGCCGGACACAUCGCGCAUUCACCCUUUAUAUAUCCAUUAAAUAUCUUCAAAAUGGUUUAAUGUUUCAUUUUAUUCCCUUUCUUAAACCUGUUUUGUGUUGUUGGCUUGUAUAAUGGACCAUGGUUGCUGUGUUAUUCCCUGUCUAUUAUUUCUGUCAAGCACUUUGAGCUUCAUUCUGUAUAGAAGGUGCUCCACAAAUAAAGCUAUCAUUGCUAUGAU